CUCUCAGGAAGUGUGUGCCGGAACAAGUGGAAGAUACUUCAAAACCUUUCCUGCAUUUAUCUGCCUUAUUAAAAUGCAUUUUUAUACGCGUAAGGGCCCAACGUCAUCACAAUGUCCUUUAAAUGUGGAAGAUUGAUGCAGAAGAGGAGGUCGGAAUGUUCUGAUGUGAGAAAGACUUGAGCAGCCAUUGCUGGCUUUGCAGAUGAAAGGAGGCUACCAGCCAAGAAUGCAGCAACCUCUAGAAACUGGAAAAGGCAAGAAAACAGACUCUCUCCUGAGCCCCCAGAAGGAAGGCAGCCCUGUCAAAACCUUGAUUUCAGACCCACUUAGGGACUUCUGACCUCCAGGACUCCCCAGAAUCUACAAUAUUUUGGCAUGGCAGCCUGAGCAAACUAAGACAGAAGCACUGGACUUGCCAGCAUGAGGAUAUUUUCUCAAUGUCAAGUGGCUAUUGACUUUUAAUCUCCGGGAAUGCAUGAUGAGGAACACAACUACUGCUUCUUACUAC